AUAUAUAUAUAGGGUAGUGUUAAACUCCUAUUUUCCCCUUAGAUUUAAGUUUCUACGCAAUCUCGGUCGUUGGAUUAGGAGGAUGGACGUUCUAGAUUAUAAUCUAAUUUACCAUCCCGCGUUUCAUUAUUUACCCAGUUUGAUGCAUCAUGAGGGUGAUUUAGUCAUUUUGUGUACUAAAAAACGUUGAAAACCUAUUGACCAAAAUUUAAGCGGGCUACUCCACUACUUUCCAUCGACUAAAUACAUCUUUCAUCACCAAUCGCAUUUACGCAAAAAUCUCGCUCCAGAUUCUCUCUCACGAACGACGCCACAAAUUCCUUCCAGUGCGAAAAACCCUAGCCGCCGCUGUUCAAAAGCGCGGCGUUUUCUCGGAGAUUCACCGCUGGGUGCCUUGCUUUCCAUAAUCCCCUCACGGUUUGAACUAGAUUUCGUUGGACUACAACAGCAGAUUUCAUCAUGACUAAAAGAGGUAGACCUACGAAAUCGCAACAAACACAAGAAGAGGAUUUAUCAUGACGAAAAGAGGACGUCCUUCAACUUCACAACCAUCCCAGUCUGAAGCUAAGAUUGGACAUCGACGAGGCGGUCGAUGAUAUACUGCGAGUAGGAAUUGCCCAAAAAUUUCAGGAGCGAUUAUCAGAGGCCGGGACUAGUACAGCUUCGGAAGAGACGGAGGAUAUGAAACCAAGGGGUAGGAACGUCGACCAUCUGUAUUGUCGGCGAACCCCAACAGAGUUUCUGAAUUGUAUUAAGAGUUUAACUCCAUGACAGAAGGAAGCCGUCACGGAACUUGUACAUGAGUCUAAGAGUGAAUGCAAUAUUUGUACAUUAUUUAGCUAUUUCUAUGCAUUAUAUAUCCUGUUUUAUGCAUCAUUAGACUGCUGCUGUACAUAAGUCCAAGAAUGAAUGCAAUAUUUGUAUGUUCAUUACUUGAGUUAUUCUGUACAUUAUUUGGCUAUUUGAAUGAAUUAUUUAUCAUGUUUUAUGCA